GAAAAUGAACUAAAAAUGAGUUUAUUUUCUUUGUCUUUCUCUGCUUAUUGUAAAUAAAACGUUAUCCACUCUGUGGCAUUUCGUUGUUCGUGCUUUAUGACAACAAUUUUAGCCGCCAUUUUGAGGAGUAUUUUAGCUAUUUGUGUUAAACUUGGAAAUGUUAACGUGAAAAAAACUGAACCAAACGAAGAAAAAGUAGAAGCAAUACAUUCAUUCUGUGCUUGAUCUCAUAAGAUAAAUCCCAUUUCACCACCAACCUAUGUUGUCAAAACGACAACAAUGAAUUGAGAAGAAGGUUUAAAAGCUUUGGAAACUUCAAUCAAAACCAUUGAAGAAGUCAUUAUGAACAAGAAAGCCAAAGGUUCUCACAAAUAUGGAUGAAGCAGACUUUGCAAAGGAAUAAGAAAAACUUGAACGUCAAAAUGCAGAAGUUGAUG